UCAUUUUUUUGAAGUUUUCGAACUCAUCAGAUAAAUUAUUUCUUUCAGAGCAUAUUAACCCAGUGACAUCUCGUUUUCUAGACACUAUUGGAAUACAAGACACUGGUAUACCUUUAAAGACUGAUGGAGGAUGCACUGGAACAAAACUACCACCUUUGACUUUUUUUAAUUCUGCAUCUUUAGGCCAGUGCUGAGCACAAAUUAGCUUAUAAUCUGUAAACACAAAGUUUGCAUUUGGAAGUUUUUUAAUCCAUAACUUAUAGUUUUAAUCAAACAACCAAAAUCCUCAUUGAAACUUUAAUUCUCCGUAAAAAAGUCGGCCUUCGCUAAUUUUACGGAAAUUUAGCUGUCGCGGCCUGUUUAAGAAGGCCUUGGCGUUAGACAAAAACAUUAUAAUUUUCUUGAACUAUACUUGUUUAUAUCUUUUUUUAAGUUAAACAUGAAACUUGAGAUUUUUUGCUUUAUUCAGUUUAAGUUUACCUUUUCCAACCAUUUAUAGAAAGUACUAUUUACUACUUUAUAUACUAUUUAUAUGGCUUCACUUAUUUAUUUUACUUUUCAGAGUUUCAGAGAAAAGUUAUGUUCAAACUUACUGAAAUUAAAAACAUUUUAGUAAAUAAAACUGCACAGUUCUCUAAUGAUCCAGAAGGUUAUAAAGAACUUAAAAGUUCAGAUGAACUUAAUGUUUUGAAAAGAAAAAUUGCAAAUGGAGAUAUCUAAUACAUCACUUUUGUAAAACAGUUAUCAUUAAUUGGAGACUGACAACAGAUACUAUUUUCAGAAUGCAGCAUGAAUGGUCUAAAGAAGAAAAAAAAGUUUAAAAAGUUGACAAGUCUAUGUAUUGCUAUCACUGAUGCUGCUUCAAAGUCAAAUAAAUGCUUAACCAAAAUGGAGCUUAUUGGGAGAUUAAUUAGGCAUUUUUCUGACCGAUUCGAGAGAAAAUCCACCAAUAUCCAUAUUGAUCAAUGAUGGCUUAAUUAACUUCAAUCAACUGUUGUGUUUUUUGUUUAUUUUGCAUUUUUCAGUAAUUUUCUUUUUACUUAUAAUAUAAUAUCGAUUAUACUCUACAAAAAAUAUUAGUU